rnacentral:rRNA from 1 species
UACGUAGGGCGCAAGCGUUGUCCGGAAUUAUUGGGCGUAAAGAGCUCGUAGGCGGUUUGUCGCGUCUGCCGUGAAAACCCGAGGCUUAACCUCGUGGCUUGCGGUGGAUACGGGCAGACUAGAGGUAGGUAGGGGAGAAUGGAAUUCCCGGUGUAGCGGUGAAAUGCGCAGAUAUCAGGAGGAACACCGGUGGCGAAGGCGGGUCUCUGGGCCGAAAUUGACGCUGAGGAGCGAAAGCGUGGGGAGCAAACAGG